AUUGAACGCUGGCGGCAGGCCUAACACAUGCGAGUCGAACGAGUGGCGUACGGGUGAGUAAUGUCUGGGAAACUGCCUGAUGGAGGGGGAUACCUCCUGGAAACGGUAUCUAAUACCGCAUACCAUCGGAUGUGCCCAGAUGGGAUUAGCUAGUAGGUGGGGUAACGGCUCACCUAGGCGACGAUCCCUAGCUGGUCUGAGAGGAUGACCAGCCACACUGUAACUGAGCAACGGUCCAGACUCAUACGGGAGGCAGCAGUGGGGAAUAUUGCACAAUGGGAGCAAGCCUGAUACAGCCAUGCCGCGUGUAUGAAGAAGGCCUUCGGGUUGUAAAGUACUUUCAGCGGGGAGGCGUUACCAGCAGAAGAAGCACCGGCUAACUCCGUGCCAGCAGCCGCGGUAAUUC
rnacentral:rRNA from 1 species